rnacentral:rRNA from 1 species
UGGGGAAUUUUUGUCAAUGGGGGAAACCCUGAACAAGCAACGCCGCGUGAAGGACGAAGACCUUCGGGUUGUAAACUUCUGUCGGAGGGGACGAAAGCGGUCGAGGCUAAUAUCCUCGGCCGUUGACGGUACCCUACGAGGAAGCCCCGGCUAACUCCGUGCCAGCAGCCGCGGUAAUACGGGGGGGGCAAGCGUUGUUCGGAAUUACUGGGCGUAAAGGGCGCGUAGGCGGGCGGGCAAGUCUCUCGUGAAAGCCCACGGCUUAACCGUGGAACUGCGGGAGAUACUGCCUGUCUUGAGUCCGGGAGAGGAGGGUGGAAUUCCCAGUGUAGCGGUGAAAUGCGUAGAUAUUGGGAGGAACACCGGUGGCGAAGGCGGCUCUCUGGACCGGUACUGACGCUGAGGCGCGAAAGCUAGGGGAGCAAACGGGAUUAGAUACCCCGGUAGUCCUAGCCGUAAACGAUGAGCACUUGGUGUGGCGGGUAUCGACCCCCGCCGUGCCGAAGCUAACGCAUUAAGUGCUCCGCCUGGGGAGUACGGUCGCAAGGCUGA